rnacentral:rRNA from 1 species
GUCUAAGUAUAAGCAAUUAUACAGCGAAACUGCGAAUGGCUCAUUAUAUAAGUUAUCGUUUAUUUGAUAGUACCUUACUACUUGGAUAACCGUGGUAAUUCUAGAGCUAAUACAUGCUAAAAAUCCCGACUUACGAAGGGAUGUAUUUAUUAGAUUAAAAACCAAUGCCCUUCGGGGCUCACUGGUGAUUCAUAAUAACUUCUCGAAUCGCAUGGCCUUGCGCCGGCGAUGGUUCAUUCAAAUUUCUUCCCUAUCAACUUUCGAUGCUAGAGUAGUGUUCUAGCAUGGUUACAACGGGUAACGGAGGGUUAGGGCUCGACCCCGGAGAAGGAGCCUGAGAAACGGCUACUACAUCCAAGGAAGGCAGCAGGCGCGCAAAUUACCCAAUCCCGACACGGGGAGGUAGUGACGAUAAAUACUGAUACAGGGCUCUUUUGGGUCUUGUAAUUGGAAUGAGUACAAUUUAAAUCCCUUAACGAGGAACAAUUGGAGGGCAAGUNUGGUGCCAGCAGCCGCGGUAAUUCCAGCUCCAAUAGCGUAUAUUAAAGUUGUUGUGGUUAAAAAGCUCGUAGUAGAACCUUGGGCCUGGCUGGCCGGUCCGCCUCACCGCGUGCACUGGUCCGGCCGGGCCUUUCCCUCUGUGGAACCCCAUGCCCUUCACUGGGUGUGGCGGGGAAAGGACUUUUACUUUGAAAAAAUUAGAGUGCUCCAGGCAGGCCUAUGCUCGAAUACAUUAGCAUGGAAUAAUGAAAUAGGACGUGCGGUUCUAUUUUGUUGGUUUCUAGGACCGCCGUAAUGAUUAAUAGGGACAGUCGGGGGCAUCAGUAUUCAAUUGUCAGAGGUGAAAUUCUUGGAUUUAUUGAAGACUAACUACUGCGAAAGCAUUUGCCAAGGAUGUUUUCAUUUAUCAGGAACGAAAGUUAGGGGAUCGAAGACGAUCAGAUACCGUCGUAGUCUUAACCAUAAACUAUGCCGACUAGGGAUCGGACGAUGUUAUUUUUUGACUCGUUCGGCACCUUACGAGAAAUCAAAGUGCUUGGGCUCC